rnacentral:tRNA from 1 species
UCCCUGGUGGCUCAGAUGGUAAAGUGUCUGCCUACAGUGCAGGAGACCCGGGUUCGGUCCCUGGGUUGGGAA